rnacentral:rRNA from 1 species
UACGUAGGGUGCGAGCGUUAAUCGGAAUUACUGGGCGUAAAGUGUGCGCAGGCGGCUUCGCAAGUCGAGUGUGAAAUCCCCAGCUUAACUUGGGAAUUGCGCUCGAAACUGCGUAGCUAGAGUCCUGGAGAGGAAGGUGGAAAUGCUUGGUGUAGAGGUGAAAUUCGUAGAUAUCAAGCGGAACACCGGUGGACGAAGGCGGCCUUCUGGACAGUGGACUGACGCUGAGACGCGAAAGCGUGGGGAGCAAACAGG